rnacentral:rRNA from 1 species
GGCCUAACACAUGCAAGUCGAGCGCGAAAACCUCGCAAGAGGUCUGUAGAGUGGCAAACGGGUGAGUAAUACGUGGGUGACCUGCCUUCUAGUGGGGGAUAACGUCUCGAAAGGGACGCUAAUACCGCAUGACAUCCUGCCUUUGAACAGGUGGAGAUCAAAGCCGGGGUCGCAAGACCUGGCGCUUGAAGAGGGGCCCACGCCCGAUUAGCUAGUUGGUGAGGUAACGGCCCACCAAGGCGACGAUCGGUAGCCGGCCUAAGAGGGCGGACGGCCACACUGGGACUGAGACACGGCCCAGACUCCUACGGGAGGCAGCAGUGGGGAAUUGUUCGCAAUGGGCGCAAGCCUGACGACGCAACGCCGCGUGGAGGAUGAAGAUUUUCGGAUCGUAAACUCCUGUCGAGCGGGACGAAUGAUCUGCGACCUAAUACGUCGUGGAAGUGACGGUACCGCUAGAGGAAGCCCCGGCUAACUCCGUGCCAGCAGCCGCGGUAAUACGGGGGGGGCAAGCGUUGUUCGGAAUUACUGGGCGUAAAGGGCUCGUAGGCGGCCAACUAAGUCAGACGUGAAAUCCCUCGGCUUAACCGAGGAACUGCGUCUGAUACUGGAUGGCUAGAGAUUGGGAGAGGGAUGCGGAAUUCCAGGUGUAGCGGUGAAAUGCGUAUAUAUCUGGAGGAACACCGGUGGCGAAGGCGGCAUCCUGGACCAACACUGACGCUGAUGAGCGAAAGCCAGGGGAGCAAACGGGAUUAGAUACCCCGGUAGUCCUGGUCCUAAACGAUGAAUGCUUGGUGUGGCGGGUAUCGAUCCCUG